rnacentral:rRNA from 1 species
GUGUCAGCCGCCGCGGUAAGACGAACCGUGCGAACGUUGUUCGGAAUCACUGGGCUUAAAGGGCGCGUAGGCGGGCUGGCGAGUCCGGGGUGAAAUCCCACGGCCCAACCGUGGAAGUGCCCCGGAUACCGCCGGCCUCGAGGGAGGUAGGGGCGUGUGGAACUUCCGGUGGAGCGGUGAAAUGCGUAGAGAUCGGAAGGAACGCCGGUGGCGAAAGCGACACGCUGGACCUCUGCUGACGCUGAGGCGCGAAAGCCAGGGGAGCGAACGGGAUUAGAAACCCGUGUAGUCC